GAUGAACGCUGGCGGCGUGCCUAAUACAUGCAAGUCGAGCGAACGGACGAGAAGCUUGCUUCUCUGAUGUUAGCGGCGGACGGGUGAGUAACACGUGGAUAACCUACCUAUAAGACUGGGAUAACUUCGGGAAACCGGAGCUAAUACCGGAUAAUAUUUUGAACCGCAUGGUUCAAAAGUGAAAGACGGUCUUGCUGUCACUUAUAGAUGGAUCCGCGCUGCAUUAGCUAGUUGGUAAGGUAACGGCUUACCAAGGCAACGAUGCAUAGCCGACCUGAGAGGGUGAUCGGCCACACUGGAACUGAGACACGGUCCAGACUCCUACGGGAGGCAGCAGUAGGGAAUCUUCCGCAAUGGGCGAAAGCCUGACGGAGCAACGCCGCGUGAGUGAUGAAGGUCUUCGGAUCGUAAAACUCUGUUAUUAGGGAAGAACAUAUGUGUAAGUAACUGUGCACAUCUUGACGGUACCUAAUCAGAAAGCCACGGCUAACUACGUGCCAGCAGCCGCGGUAAUACGUAGGUGGCAAGCGUUAUCCGGAAUUAUUGGGCGUAAAGCGCGCGUAGGCGGUUUUUUAAGUCUGAUGUGAAAGCCCACGGCUCAACCGUGGAGGGUCAUUGGAAACUGGAAAACUUGAGUGCAGAAGAGGAAAGUGGAAUUCCAUGUGUAGCGGUGAAAUGCGCAGAGAUAUGGAGGAACACCAGUGGCGAAGGCGACUUUCUGGUCUGUAACUGACGCUGAUGUGCGAAAGCGUGGGGAUCAAACAGGAUUAGAUACCCUGGUAGUCCACGCCGUAAACGAUGAGUGCUAAGUGUUAGGGGGUUUCCUCCCCUUAGUGCUGCAGCUAACGCAUUAAGCACUCCGCCUGGGGAGUACGACCGCAAGGUUGAAACUCAAAGGAAUUGACGGGGACCCGCACAAGCGGUGGAGCAUGUGGUUUAAUUCGAAGCAACGCGAAGAACCUUACCAAAUCUUGACAUCCUUUGACAACUCUAGAGAUAGAGCCUUCCCCUUCGGGGGACAAAGUGACAGGUGGUGCAUGGUUGUCGUCAGCUCGUGUCGUGAGAUGUUGGGUUAAGUCCCGCAACGAGCGCAACCCUUAAGCUUAGUUGCCAUCAUUAGGUUGGGCACUCUAAGUUGACUGCCGGUGACAAACCGGAGGAAGGUGGGGAUGACGUCAAAUCAUCAUGCCCCUUAUGAUUUGGGCUACACACGUGCUACAAUGGACAAUACAAAGGGCAGCGAAACCGCGAGGUCAAGCAAAUCCCAUAAAGUUGUUCUCAGUUCGGAUUGUAGUCUGCAACUCGACUACAUGAAGCUGGAAUCGCUAGUAAUCGUAGAUCAGCAUGCUACGGUGAAUACGUUCCCGGGUCU
rnacentral:rRNA from 1 species